CGUUCCCCUUCGGGGGACAGGGUGACAGGUGGUGCAUGGUUGUCGUCAGCUCGUGUCGUGUAGAUGUUGGGUUAAGUCCCGCAACGAGCCGCAACCCUCGACCUUAGUUGCCAGCAUUCAGUUGGGCACUCUAAGGUGACUGCCGGCUAAAAGUCGGAGGAAGUGGGGAUGACGUCAAAUCAUCAUGCCCCUUAUGACCUGGGCUACACACGUGCUACAAUGGGCGGUACAAAGGGUCGCGAACCCGCGAGGGGGAGCCAAUCCCAAAAAGCCGCUCUCAGUUCGGAUUGCAGGCUGCAACUCGCCUGCAUGAAGCCGGAAUCGCUAGUAAUCGCGGAUCAGCAUGCCGCGGUGAAUACGUUCCCGGGCCUU
rnacentral:rRNA from 1 species